ensembl:lncRNA
CUGGAUUCUAGUGAAGAGGCCUAUGGGAGGUUUGCAUCACUAUGAUGUGAGGCCCCUCCAUUUUGACCUCUGAGAAGCCUUCCUGCAGGAGUGGAGGCCACGGAGGCUGAGAGAGAUGCCCGAGGUCCCAGACGGUGGCUGCACCCCUCUGCCUGAUCCCAGCGCCCCUUCUUCUCCUCUGCGAAGCCCCUCUGAAAGCAAAGCCCUGAGGCAGCACCAGUCAAGCCUUCUCCCGCGCGACGUGGGGUUUUUCUACAAGUGCUCCUGAGUCUCAGUGAGACCAACAGGAAUGCCUUAAUUGAAAGAAAGGGCAUUUGGUGGAUUGACUGGUUGGAUCUCCUUGCUGUCCAAGGGACUCUGAAGAGUCUUCUCCAGCACCACAGUUUGAAAGGAUCGAUUCUUCGGUGCUCAGCCUUCCUUAUGGUCCAAACACCCGAAACUUUAGGAGAGGGGAGUUCAAGGAGACCUGGAGUCUGUUCAGCAGCCAGGUGCCAGCCAGGGCUCCAUCCCUGGGGUCAGAAGCCCUACAUAGGCUGAGUCAGUUCUGCUGAAGGCAGACUCCUAAGGCUGAAUGAAGCAUAUUUCCUGUGAUGAAGAAAUAGACACAGGAAGGCUUUGUGUCCUGGAAGCCCACGGGAUCCUGCUCGAUAUCAACAUUCAUGGAUCUUCUUCUAAAGUCACACCGACUCCUGUAGGAUUCGGACUGUGGGCCAGUGCGGACUUAUAACCAAAUGGCCAGAGAUACAAGGAGGUCCCAUGCACAUGUGAUGUCUGCUGAAACCCCCUCCUGUUCAGCCACGAUGUCUCUCUGGAAGGAGAGCAGCAAUACAGAAUUCACCCUUGUGGGUCAACUCCCAAUAAGCACCUCAAAGCCCCUGAAAAUAUAUCCCAGAUAGAUCUUUUCAGACUGACAUAAGAGAACCACCCCCAGAACAUUAUUGAAAACAUUGCCAAUAAAAGUGAUGAACC